GGAGAGGUGGCAGAGCGGCCGAAUGCACCGGUCUUGAAAACCGGCGUCGGGCAACCGACCCAGGGUUCGAAUCCCUGCCUCUCCG
rnacentral:tRNA from 2 species